rnacentral:lncRNA from 1 species
AAGUCAUUACGAAAAGAAGCGUGAUUUGUUAUUCUCUUGAUUUACCUUGUGUAAAAUCCUCGAAUUUGUCCAAAUCUGUUUUGGAGAAUAAGGUAACGAAAUUUUCCAAAUUUGUUUUCAAUUUAUAUUCGUGCCUUAAACAAUUUAUGUGGUUGUACAUGAAGUUUGAGUUCCAUUUGACAAAGGUUAACUCAACAACGGAGAUUCGACUACACUAUGCCCCCGAUGAGCGAAGGUUUGUUUUAAAUGAAAAAGGUAAAAUCGACCCUUAUUCUUCUGCUUAUCGAGGUAAGAUGCUUGAAACCUUAGAAACACUUUUGUACUCCUCGGAUAGUGAUAAAGAUCGUGUUGAUGAACACUUAGAUCGAAACGUGCUUGACUGUCCUAUUUUAUUUAUUGAUGAUCUAUCUGUUUUGAUGGUUGAUAAAAAGAUUCUUGUUUUUGAUAAUGCAUGUGUGAGUGAAUCUAUAGACCG